rnacentral:lncRNA from 1 species
ACAGAUAGUAUUUAUUUUGAAGUAUUGUUGGGGACGACAUUGUUUAUCUUUGAAGAUUUUGACAUUUGUGCUCAGUUUUGAUAAUUCUACUAAUGCGGUAUUAUAUUCAAGAUUCUGAAAAUCGGAUCGAUUAUCGAACUAUUCUAGUGACUGGUUUAUUGGUUUAUUGGUCCAACUAGUUUAACUGUGGUUCAACUAGAAUAACCGUUUUAUAAUAAAAUAAUAAAUAAAAUAUAAAUAAACACACUAAGAUUAACAAAAAUGAACUAUAUUUAACUAAGAUUAACAAAAUCAGCACAAUAAUUAACAUGCUUUAACAAAAAUUAACAGUUUUCAAAUCAAUUUUAACAAGUUCAGCACAAUGAUUAACAGGAAAAAAAAGGCACUAUAAGCACUGCCAUCUCUCCAAUUGCUUAAUAACCUCCUUUCCUUUCCAACAGCUUCAAAGUAAUCUCUAGCUCAUCCUACAAUAAGUUAUAUCAAUUAGAAAUGAUCAAAUCACAUUCAUUUUGUAUGCAAAAACAGUUUUAACAUGGAAAGCUUCAUUGCAAGAAUUCAAGUCGGUGUGCAGGUCCUCGAACAGCAAAUCAAUACAAGCAUUCAAGAAAAAGAAAGACAACACAUCAACAACACAACAAAGAAUCGAAGAAACAUUUAAAACACAGUAACAACACAACACCUAUAGAAACAUUUAAAACAAAGCAACAAAGAAAGAAAUAUCUAAGAAUUACCAUUGCUGAGAACAGUAACUUGAACGUGUAUGCUCAAAGAAUCAAAGGCUAAGCUUCCCUGGGAAAGUGAAGAACACCCAAACGAAGGAAACUUCAAUCACAGCUUAAACCAAAAUUCACAAUCCCUUUCAAUUGAAGCCACAAGCAACUUGAGAACUAAAGCAAGGUUAACAAGGUUAAGCAGUGAACUAAAUCGGCGUAAUUUUACCAAAGAUUAACUGAACUAAAUCAAUUAAUUAUUUAAUGAUUCAAUCCAAAACAAGAAAACCGUAUAAUAUAGCACAGGAGGAGCAGAGCUAAUUAAUGAUUUAAAUUUCAAUCUGAGUAGCAUUAAUAGAAUCCCAAAAAAAUUAAUAUUCUAGCAGAAUCUCAAAAAAAAAUCAUUGAAUCAAUGUUCUGAGCAAAGAUAAAAAAACCGAGAACGAAUUUUUUUAAAAAAAAUGAAGCCAUUGCCUUCGUGAGCUCGAGGAAGACGCACCAAUUGUUGAAUGAGGAAGAAGCGCGGAGCCACAGACGACCGGACGAAGACACGGUGGUGUUUGAGCGCAACGGACGGCGGCACUGAGUGAGUUCCUUGCGGCGGUGGGGGAGUAAACUUGGGUUUGUGUUUUGGGGGUGGGGGGCUGUAUACCUGUAUCUGACUGAGGAGGAUGAGAAGUGGGGAACCUGCGGUGCGCUGCUCGAGGGGAAGGAGAACGGGUUUCUUUUUUCUUUAAAGAAAGCGCAUAACGGCGAGCAGAGAGCAUAUGAAGACAACGGCUAGCACGACGGCAACAUGACGGACGCUCGAGGAGUAAGCUACGUGCCUGCGAUUGGUGAGUUUGAGAGCGAACAGGGGUUGGAGAGGGUUGCGGCGGAAGCUCGACGGACGGCGGCAAUGGCUCACUCCUUGCGGCAGCAGUGGAACUUAGAACCCUAAUUUUUGAACUUUGAAGCUUUGCUUUUCUGAUUUUGAAUGAGUC